rnacentral:rRNA from 1 species
UGGGGAAUAUUGCACAAUGGAGGGAACUCUGAUGCAGCGACGCCGCGUGAGUGAUGAAGGAAUUCGUUUCGCAAAACUCUGUUCUAUGGGAAGAAAAGGACUGUACCAUAGGAGAAAGCUCCGGCUAAAUACGUGCCAGCAGCCGCGGUAAUACGUAUGGAGCGAGCGUUGUCCGGAAUUAUUGGGCGUAAAGGGUGCGCAGGCGGCUUUACAAGUUGGAUGUGAAAUAUUGUGGCUCAACCACAAACGUGCAUCCAAAACUGCAAAGCUUGAGUUAAGGAGAGGUAAGUGGAAUUCCUGGUGUAGCGGUGGAAUGCGUAGAUAUCAGGGGGAAUACCGGUGGCGAAGGCGACUUACUGGACUUAAACUGACGCUCAGGCACGAAAGCGUGGGGAGCAAACAGG